rnacentral:rRNA from 1 species
UACGUAGGGAGCAAGCGUUGUCCGGAAUCAUUGGGCGUAAAGCGCGCGUAGGCGGCCCUGUAAGUCCGUUGUGAAAGUCAAAGGCUCAACCUUUGAAAGCCGAUGGAUACUGCAGGGCUAGAGUCCGGAAGAGGCGAGUGGAAUUCCUGGUGUAGCGGUGAAAUGCGUAGAGAUCAGGAGGAACACCCGUGGCGAAGGCGGCACUCUGGGCAGCCCUGACGCUGAGCAGGCGAAAGCGUGGGGAGCGAACGGG